rnacentral:lncRNA from 1 species
UUUCCUGUGCUUUUCUGUAGGGCACAUGCCUCAAAAAGAAUUAUCUUCACAUUGGAGAAACUGAAGUCUUCCUGAUGCCCUUUAUUUUACAUUCAGAGAGCUGGCCCAUGACAAAUUUAAGUUCAAGACCGUCUACUAAUUGACCAAGCCACCCUUGAAACUCCUAGGGAAGGGUUCAGCUCACUGGCAGAGAUAUCCAUCAGCAGGGCUGUCUGCACUUGAGCUCCCUGUCUUGAAAUACUGCACUGCCACUCCUGUCUGUAGAUGUCUCAUGCAUGCCAAGGAAUUGUGAGACAGACGUGAUGAGACAGACACAAAACUGUUCCUUUUCCUCCACUGAUUAUAGGUAGAGUGUAAGUAGCAUUACACAGCACAGAUAUAUUCAGGCAUGUUUCUGCUGGCUUCAUUUGCAUUUGUGUGUGCUUAACAUUUUGGACCUCUGAUUACUAAGCUGAGCAUGCAGGAAAAGAAAAAGGCACAAGUGAUUAAUUAACUGGAGUGACAAGUUUGGUUUUAUUAAGUUGACGUUGCAUGGAAAAUCUGCCGCAGCAGCAAGGGUAGAUUCAGUUCUUCAAAGCAGCACUCAACAGCCUGAACUAUGAGACCGGCUUUUCUCUCCCUGCUGCCAGGCAGUGCAAAGGGUUUAAUGUACAUUUCAUAGCAAAACAGGGCCAGUCAUUGAAGCUGUACACCAACCUCCAGCCUGUGUCUGGGUUACUGUUUCUGAUCAAUGUUAAUUAAACGCAGAAAUAAAUGCAGAAAGGAGGGGUGAAUCUUCAGGUGCUGACUGGGAUACCAUCCCUGCAGAGGUGGGAUGUACGGCUCUGGUUGGGCGAGCAUGCCUCUCAUCGUGAACUUUGGCUCAGAGAAACCAGGACUUACCUUGGCAGUGUCCAAUCUCAAGGUGCUACUCUGAAGAGGGGGAGUAAUGGGUAACGUUAGUGUGAUGUGGCUUGAGGCAUCUAACAAAAAUAUCCUAGGGCUUCCUUUUUAUGUUUUGGAGGUGAUAGAGGAAUUUGAAUUACAG